GACGAAGGAUCCAAGCGUUAUCCGGAUUCAUUGGGUUUAAAGGGUGCGUAGGCGGCCCGGUAAGUCAGUGGUGAAAGCCUGUUGCUUAACAACAGAACUGCCAUUGAUACUGCCAGGCUUGAGUACAGAUGCUGUGGGCGGAAUAUGACAUGUAGUGGUGAAAUACAUAGAGAUGUCAUAGAACACCGAUUGCGAAGGCAGCCCCCUGGGUUAACACUGACGCUCAUGCACGAAAGCGUGGGGAGCAAACAGG
rnacentral:rRNA from 1 species